CCUACGGGAGGCAGCAGUGGGGAAUAUUGCACAAUGGGGGAAACCCUGAUGCAGCGACGCCGCGUGAGUGAAGAAGUAUUUCGGUAUGUAAAGCUCUAUCAGCAGGGAAGAAAAUGACGGUACCUGACUAAGAAGCCCCGGCUAACUACGUGCCAGCAGCCGCGGUAAUACGUAGGGGGCAAGCGUUAUCCGGAUUUACUGGGUGUAAAGGGAGCGUAGACGGCAGAGCAAGUCUGAAGUGAAAGCCCGCGGCCCAACUGCGGGACUGCUUUGGAAACUGUACGGCUGGAGUGCAGGAGAGGUAAGUGGAAUUCCUAGUGUAGCGGUGAAAUGCGUAGAUAUUAGGAGGAACACCAGUGGCGAAGGCGGCUUACUGGACUGUAACUGACGUUGAGGCUCGAAAGCGUGGGGAGCAAACAGGAUUAGAUACCCGUGUAGUC
rnacentral:rRNA from 1 species